GUCCCGUACUCCCGUCCGGCUAUCCCACACCAGAAGGAGCCAACCCCCCCUCAGGCCCCAACCCUUUUCCCACUUCCCGCCGGAGCGCUCUCCUCUUCGCCGCUCCAUCACCGCCUCCCAAUCCCAUGGGCGACCCGCACCCCCUCUCCUCCGCCCACCUCACCGCUGCUGCCUCCUCGGCUCGAGAACACCGUGGCCCCACCAACGAGCGCCUCGCCGCGUCCGAUCCUUCCACGUCCUUCGCUAAGCGUCCUAGGGUUGCGGCGGAGCCGUCCGAUUCCGGCGGCUGCGUUCCAUGCGUCGAGGCGGACGUACGAGCUCUUGUGUCGGUGUCCGGAGGAAUUUACCCGCUGGCGCGGGCAGGAGCGCUCCGUGGACUCACCGCGGUCCUUGAGAAGGUCGACACCAGCAGCUGUGUCAGCGCAGCGAUCACGGACUGUUGCUACAAAUGCGCGGUGGAGCUCAUGAGGGACGACGACAAUGGCGUCAGGUUAGCCGUUGUGCGAUUGGUGGACGCGUGUGCUCGAAAUAUUUCAGCGAGAUUGGAUUUUGAUGCCAAUGGCUAUGGUGACCUGAUGGACAUGAUUUUCCUACAGCUAAGCUCCAUGGCUAGGGACAUGUGCACGCAGGUGAGAAUGGAAGCAUUCGCUGCACUUGGUAAAAUGCAACGAGUUUCUGAGGGUGUUCUGCUACAAUCGCUAGAAAAGAAGGUCAUGAAAACUGACAGGAUGGGUGUUUCUAUCAUCAACGGCCAAAAAUUACCUCCUAAACUAAAAAUUCCCUGUGCUGCUGGGAUUUUUUCCCAUGGAGUUGAAGAUGAAUUUUACGAGGUGAGAAGAACUGCCUGCAAAUCAUUAGGAGCGCUGGCAAAGUUUUCUACUCAGUACACAGAGAAGGCCUUGGACUUGUUGAUGGACAUGAUGAAUGAUGAUACAGAAGCAGUUAGGCUGCAGGCUCUGGAAGCACUAUUUAGUAUGGCAACAUAUGGAUGUUUGAGUGUGCAGGAGAAGCACAUGCAUAUGUUUCUUGGGUUGCUGGUUGAUGCCAAUGUCUUAAUUCGAGAUGCAGCACGCAAGAUCUUUGGGUUAGUCAACAUGCCAAAACUUCAAAUAUUCAAAUCUGCAGUUGAUGGUCUUGUUACAAGUUUGGAGAAGUAUCCAGAGGAAGAGGAUAUAUAUGGUAUUAUGUUUUCCAUUGGUAAGAACCAUGGGAGCUUUUCAGCUAACAUAGCUAAACAUUUGGCCAAAGAGAUUACUAUGGCAUCUGACGGAGAGCUUAUCUUGGACAAACCAAGGGUCAAAGCAUUGUUAAUAGUGUCUAUUUCAGCACCUUUUUCUGAUGAUAAGCACAAGCAGCUGGGUAUACCUUCGAUUAUCUUCUCGUAUGCAAUUCCCCUACUGGAGAAGAUCUCAUGCGCACUAGGAGAGGUUGAUCAGGAUUCACUCUUAUCUUACUUGUAUCAUAAAGGUGGAAUGCCAUUUUGGGAAAACAGGUCAGUAUCUGCAGAGUUUGGAGAAUCUGAAAGCUGCAAUGUUGAAACAGUGAAAAUUGGUGCCCAUAUAGAAAACACUGCAAAGGAAGCCAAAUGUCUAGAUGAAGUUCUGGUAAUGAAAUCCAUACUAGAAAUAGUUGAAGGAGUCUGGACUAUGAGAAUGUCGUGCAAUGUUUGUGAAGUUCGAACUAUUUUCAGAACAUGCAAAGAAGAGCUGAGAUUAUUGGCAGAAAAUUCUUCUGGAUCAAUUGGUGCAUUAUUGAGCUUUCUGAGUGAGUAUCUUGAUGCAAUAUUAUUCAUUGUUGAAAUAUGGCAGUUGAUUCAGUUGGACAAGCCUUAUACUUGUGGCCUAACGUCACUUGAUAUUUUACUGGAGAGGUUGGAUAUGUCUGUAAGGAGGAUGAAAUAUUGUUAUAUUGGAUUAAAUAGAGUAUUGGAGGUCCAAGUUUUGGAGCUUUCUUUGAUAGCUCAUUUAUGUAGACUCUCAAAGAUUGCAGUGUGUUCCAAGGUAGUUCUGGGUAAGGUGCUCUGGGUAAUUAAUCGCUUAGAGGAUCUGUGUGCUGAUGGGUCCUGUGAACUGUCUGACUUCAGUGGAGAAAUUAAGAAGGCCUGUGAUACCAACCGUAUUGGAGAUAAUCUGAUUGGCAACAUCAACAAUUUGUUUCAACUCUUCCAUCUGAAACCAACAACAGACUUUGGAAUGCUUAAAGUGAUAAGUGCAAUGUUGCGGGUCUGUGAUAACGAUUCUGAAAAUCCAUUACAAUACAUUUGUGGAUUACCGGUGGGUGUCAGCUUUAAAAUAUCUCUGUGGAACAUAUCUGGUCACCAUCGACUGUGGCUCCGCAUGACCAUUGGUGAAUCUGUGCAACAUACCUUCCUAGAAUUUUCUCGUUUUGAAGGCAAUGAUGAGGUGAUGAGUGGCUCUAUGGUUGUUCCUUUGUAUGCUACUCCAAAGACAUGUUCAUUUGUGCUUCGGGUAUGUCUGGUAAUGGAAUGUCCAUCUGCAGGGAUCAGCACCCACCAGGGUGGACAUGGAGGACCGAGUGAUUGUGUGGUUCAACUCUCUGAUGAACUGAAUGUUUAUUUUGUUAGUGCUAGCCAAUGGUGAUGAUUAAAAUAAGCGACCAUAUGCUUUCCAUGCUCAUCGUCUUAAAGGCUUUUGCUUGAGUGGACAUUCUUGAUCCAGGUCUCUUCUGGGGAAAAGGGUUCAGUUGUGCUGAAAUUUUUGUAGUUAUGGCAAAAGCAAUGCAGAUGAGCUGCAUGCUCCAUGACCGUAUGCAUAGUGUGGAGUGCAAGUGGGUUUUAACCUGGUCGAAGCACUUUGAGUUCGUUAGGAGCUACAACUUCAGACGGAAAGUGAAGGCGUGAAGCUCACCAAGUGACGAUGGAGAAAGUGCAGCGUGGGGGUGAAGCUGACGAUGGAGAAGGUGCGGCGGACCACGCUGCGCGGGUUUUUUUUUGUCACCAAUUUGUGUGGCCUUGGCCGGCGUUCACUGAUGUUCAGGUCCAGGUUAUUAAGAUAUGGGAUCAUGGUCAAGUGGACUUUUGUGUGGUAUAUUACGGUUGAUCAUUGGUUUACAACUAAAUAAUUGUAGUCAAAUUUCUUGUGCUGAAACAAAUUCCCAUCGGCCUAGUCGACCAUUCUCGUCCAACCUUUGUGCUGUUUGGUUCAAAAAAUGUAACGUAAAUGGUAAUGCUAACGGUUUACGAUCGAUUACUAAUGGUAACAAAUUUGAAUAGGUUGGUAUUAAUUUUUA